rnacentral:tRNA from 1 species
GCGGUUUUAGGCAGGAUUUCACUGACUUGUUACAUCGCAAGUCACUGAUUUAAUUAACAAUUAAUAUUUGAAAACUUGGCUUCGAACCAAGGUGUCGGGGGUUCGAGUCCCUCCGAGCGCACCA